rnacentral:rRNA from 1 species
AUUGAACGCUGGCGGCAUGCCUUACACAUGCAAGUCGAACGGUAACAGGUCUUCGGAUGCUGACGAGUGGCGAACGGGUGCGUAAUACAUCGGAACGUGCCCAGACGUGGGGGAUAACGAGGCGAAAGCUUUGCUAAUACCGCAUACGAUCUAAGGAUGAAAGCAGGGGACCGCAAGGCCUUGCGCGUUUGGAGCGGCCGAUGGCAGAUUAGGUAGUUGGCGGGAUAAAAGCUUACCAAGCCGACGAUCUGUAGCUGGUCUGAGAGGACGACCAGCCACACUGGGACUGAGACACGGCCCAGACUCCUACGGGAGGCAGCAGUGGGGAAUUUUGGACAAUGGGCGAAAGCCUGAUCCAGCAAUGCCGCGUGCAGGAUGAAGGCCUUCGGGUUGUAAACUGCUUUUGUACGGAACGAAAAGGCUCUGGCUAAUACCUGGGGCACAUGACGGUACCGUAAGAAUAAGCACCGGCUAACUACGUG